rnacentral:lncRNA from 1 species
UUUUUUUUCAACUUGCUACUUUAUAGUGAAUAAACUGGCUGGCUUGUAGUAGUGCAGUUGCUUGUAUCAUACACUCAGGGACUUUUACGUUUGCUGCUCUGUAGCCCUUCUCGUUAAUCCAGCAUUUGUUUGCGUUGUCUACACUGAGCAGAUGUUACCCGAAGUAGGUUGAAAGCCCUGUACCAUAAACAAAUGUAAACCCUUAAUUGGUAGUGGUUUGUUGAAACAUAAUAUCAAUCUUGAGAUGUCUGCGCUCCGUAAUGAGGUUAGCUGAGAAGCCUAGAAUAUUUUUAUCACCGGUCCUUAAUCUUCUAUCCUGACAUAUUUAGAUGUGUGGAGCUUGUAGGUCCCCUUUACGAUGAAACGUCUGUUAAAUAAUGCUCCCUUUCAUCAUUUGCCCUUCUAUGUAAUAAACCUCCAUUUAUGUGUAACAAGGCCAGAUGAUCCCCUUGUCAUCAGUACAUGUGAAACUGUAAAUGUUUUUGUAGCUCGCAAAUCUCUGCCAUCGCAUGAGGAUCGUAGACUUGUGGUCUGUUGUCUAUACUGAAACCAGUGCUUAAUUCUAAUGCCCAGUUCAUGUCUGCUGUUUGAGAAGUCUACAGUGCUCCAAUAAGGGCAUAGUCUAAGACUUCAACAUUAACCAUGCAAGCUUCCAAACCGGGCAUAGAAUAACUUUCUGACAAUGAUUGCACUAAAGGGCUCACAAUCUGUUUUUGAGCCACAGUUAUCAUAUUUAUUUAAGAGAACUCUAAUGCUGUUUGUAUAUUUGUGAAUGUCCGAAAGGUAAAGAGAAAUAGACCACUUUUCAGCAAUGAUUAAACUCUGUGUUUAAAUAGGAUAACGAUAGGGCUAAGACACUUGGGGUUGGAGGGAUGCAUUUGGAACAUGUUGGAAUAGUUUCUCAUAUUGUUCUUCAAAAAGUAGCACAACGGAGUUCAGAUAAGGAUGUCCAACACAGGAGCCACUGGUGGGCUGUAGAGAUUGUUACUGUGCCAAUGAGUGUACCCUGUUUAGCGAAGAGAACAUUAUGUGUUGGUGCAAGAGAAUAUCAAGACUUGUUUGUUCUCAUCCAUUAAAGAUUGCAUUUAGUUUAGUUUUUUUUUUUCAUUUUUUUAUAUCUUUUCAAAAAAAGUUAUUUUUCCAAGAAUUAAAACUUGGUUUGUUUUCUUGGGAUAGAAUCGUUCUUAACACACUCAUGUUUUUCGUGGCCAGAUUUUAUUUGGUAUAAUACUUCUCUUAGUAAGUCUGUUAAUAAAUUUUGUUCUGUACAACAACAUCGUGAGAAAAGGCUAUGCAGCAUAACCCCUUUAGGACCAAGGAUCGGUAGAUCUCGUUGGCCUAACAGUCCCGACGUGUUGAUCUUGAAAGGGUUCAAGACAACAAGCCAAAGGUUCAAGCCAAGUUAACGGAGUGUAGAAAUAUCCUAACCAACACGUACAUUGUGUUGGUAACACAAGUGAAUAAUGUACAGUGUGAAGCCAAAAAAUGUUCAACCCACAACAUUCUCCUUUGAAAAAGGUUUAUUUGCAUAUUAGCAUACCUAAUUUGCAUAUGGGGACGCAGGGUGAUAGACAUUUUUGAAAUAAGGACCCUUUAUAUUUCACAAUUUGUUGUCUGCUGUUGCACUUGUUCUUGUGUAUGGUAUGGUUGUAUGGCUAUAUUGUGUAAUAGUGUGAGGUAGAUGACUGAGCCCACUCCUGUAACGGAGUUUAUAAAACUGUGGGUUGCAGGUUAGACAUGCCUCGAAUCGUUUUGAACGUUUUAUAUGUAACGUAAUAGAUUGACCCAUAAUUCCUUCAUUUUAUACAUCAUCCAACUGUCCCUGGUUGUGUACUUAGUCCUGCUUACUGCCCUGUUCUUAGACACUUAUCAGUCAUAGUUUCACCUACAAUCUGAUUUAAUAUCACGAGAACGAUUAUUUCUAGAGAAUGCUUUGCCGGAAUCAUUGUUCCCGUGAAAUCCAUUCUUGGUUGAAUCUUUGUUAAUAUGCUGCAUUGCAAGUUCCUUUAGCCUGUCCUAGGAUCUGAGUGUAGGUAGCUUAGCGAGAACUUUCUACGCACCAAAAAUGGAUGGGGGGGAAAGUUGACAGUGUGUUUACGAACUCUCACUAAACCAAGAGUUGGACACAUUCAGGACUAUUUACUAAACCAAGAAUUGUUAGGAAUUUUACAUUUAAAGCCGAUGUAGCUGAACUGGAAAAUAUCUCCAUGUCAACUAUGCUUCUACUCGGUCACUUUCGCCCACCCAACUUUUUUAGAAGUCCAACUCUUGGUAGAUUGAUAGAAAUUCAGCCAUUGUGACCCUGCCAGCCAAAAGCAAGUGGCAGUGGUGACAUCAUUGAGUAGCUUAGCUUAGAAAUUUGGGGUCACUGGGGCAAUUCUUCGACAUAUACGUAUUCCAUGGGAGUUGUAAUGGAGUGGUGGAGUAAUUUUAUGGACCUUAUCUUUGGCCCUUUGCCUAAAUGUUGGGGUCUAUUGACAAAUAAAAAUGGAGAUUUCACAUAGUUUACACAUACACUGCUAAUGGACUCCAUCUUGGUGCAAUUAUAGUUUCUUAUGUAUAUAAUACUACAUGUGUGUAAAUAGAUUUUUUUUUUUUUCAUUUUUAUUUAACCUCCAGGCAAUCUGCUUGUACUGAAGGCUGAAACCUUUUUACAGUGACUGUUAGUCCCUAAACUCCGUAGAACAGGCAAGGCUGAGACGUAUUUCCCCCAGCUCGUGUAGGACUACAACACCCAUGAUCCUUUGCAAACUACUGGGUAGUUAUACACAAUUGGAGGAUUCCUCAUUUUCACACCUGAUGUAAGGCACAAGAAUAGAAAUGGAAAUUACUGCUUUAACACAGGUGAAGCAGAUUAUUUUGGAAGAUUUAAUGGCAGGAAUAUAAAUUACGAAGCUUUAGGAAUUUUGGAGAAAUGGCAAAUAUUAAGCAAAAAUAGCCACAUUUGGGGAGGGGAGGGGAGGGGAGAGAAAGCCCUUUAGUUCAGAGUGGCUGAUUUUGGAGUAAACAACUCAAUGUUCUUAUUUCUCUAAUUCUCUUUUUAUAAAAUACAACACAGGGGUUUAUUUACUAAGCAGUAAAUAGUGGUGGAUUGCAACACUCCAAUUAAAGCAGCCUGGCUGUGAAUUAAACCCCGUAUUGGUGUCUUUGUUUCAUGCAGUGGAGACUGACACACACAGUUCUGCUGAAUUUCACAGUGAGCGAGAGAUGAGGAAGCACAAACAUUAUUCUGUUGAGGAGAGAACACUAAUAGGGUGCUAAUGGAUUUUUAGAGUUCAUUAAUUUAAUGUUACCAAAAAUAACCUGCUGCUUUAACAGUGGAAUUGUAAACUUUAAAAAUAAAAAAAUAAAAGGCCGAAUCUAGAUUUUAUUUUUUUUAUUUUUUUUUAAAUCCCCCCCAUCCCCACCACUUGGCAAAAACCUGGCAAUGACAUAACUCAAGCCUAGACAGCUCUGUUGCAAUAGGCCAGGCAUAGGCAACCUUUGGCACUCCAGACGUUUUGGACUACACCUCCCAUGAUGCUUUGCCAGCAUUAUAGGGGAUGUAGUUCACAACAUUUGGAGUACCUUAGGUUGCCUAUUCCUGCAAUAGGCAAAUACUAUUUUUGCUUCAAAUAUUAUUUGAAAUGGUUCAUUAAAGGGCCUGCCUUAUAUGCUAAAUAUUGUGCAAGAAACUGUAUACACUGAUAUUCUUGGUUUUGCAAACAAAUGUAAACCUCAACCUGUAACUUUAAGGAGGCCCCACCUCCUGAUGACAUCAUUGUGCAGAUUCAUAUGCAAAUUUACUACUGCAAUGCCAAAUAAUCACUGCGAAUGUAUCUUUUUUUUUUUUUCCUUGUGAACUAUACAGUGGGGUUUACUCACUAUAUGACGAAUUGUAGCAAAUUGAAUGGUAAAAUUAAGGCUAAACUAGCUCAUCUUAAAGUUUUUGAAACUUUUUUGAUAUAGUCACAGCUUGAUUAUCUUAGCCUGAGUUAGGCCUUUUGGAUUUUCAGUUUUUUAAAUUUAGACAAUAAGCCACUUCGUCUGACUUCUAAAAUAUAGAAGCCCCCCAUUUAGCGGUGAGAAAAUAACCAACCCUUUUGGUAAGAAAUUCUUUUUAUUAUCACGUCUUAAAAUUAGGAUCCAGUAUUAAACUAUUUUAUUUCCGAUCUUUAAAACUUUCUGGUGAAUAAAUUUGUAAGAAUUUUUCCUCUUAUAUUUGCUUCCUGUAAAAUGUUUCUCAAAUAUGACUUGAAAACCACCCACUGUUUCGUAAGGAAAGAAAAAAGUGCAUUUAAAAAAAGAAUAAAAAAAAAAAAUUUCCAUUGCAA